rnacentral:tRNA from 1 species
GCGGCACUAGCUCAGUUGGUAGAGCGCGACCUUGCCAAGGUCGAGGUCAUCGGUUCGAACCCGAUG